rnacentral:rRNA from 1 species
CCUACGGGGGGCUGCAGUGGGGAAUAUUGCACAAUGGGCGCAAGCCUGAUGCAGCCAUGCCGCGUGUGUGAAGAAGGCCUUCGGGUUGUAAAGCACUUUCAGCGGGGAGGAAGGCGUUAAGGUUAAUAACCUUGGCGAUUGACGUUACCCGCAGAAGAAGCACCGGCUAACUCCGUGCCAGCAGCCGCGGUAAUACGGAGGGUGCAAGCGUUAAUCGGAAUUACUGGGCGUAAAGCGUACGCAGGCGGUCUGUCAAGUCGGAUGUGAAAUCCCCGGGCUCAACCUGGGAACUGCAUUCGAAACUGGCAGGCUAGAGUCUUGUAGAGGGGGGUAGAAUUCCAGGUGUAGCGGUGAAAUGCGUAGAGAUCUGGAGGAAUACCGGUGGCGAAGGCGGCCCCCUGGACAAAGACUGACGCUCAGGUGCGAAAGCGUGGGGAGCAAACAGGAUUAGAUACCCGUGUAGUC